ACGAACGCUGGCGGCGUGCUUCACACAUGCCAGUCGAACGGAAAGGCCCUGCUUUUGUGGGGUGCUCGAGUGGCGAACGGGUGAGUAACACGUGAGUAACCUGCCCUUGACUUUGGGAUAACUUCAGGAAACUGGGGCUAAUACCGGAUAGGAGCUCCUGCUGCAUGGUGGGGGUUGGAAAGUUUCGGCGGUUGGAGAUGGACUCGCGGCUUAUCAGCUUGUUGGUGGGGUAGUGGCUUACCAAGGCUUUGACGGGUAGCCGGCCUGAGAGGGUGACCGGCCACAUUGGGACUGAGAUACGGCCCAGACUCCUACGGGAGGCAGCAGUGGGGAAUAUUGCACAAUGGGCGGAAGCCUGAUGCAGCAACGCCGCGUGCGGGAUGACGGCCUUCGGGUUGUAAACCGCUUUCGCCUGUGACGAAGCGUGAGUGACGGUAAUGGGUAAAGAAGCACCGGCUAACUACGUG
rnacentral:rRNA from 1 species